rnacentral:miRNA from 1 species
AACUGAUUUUGUUUGGGA